rnacentral:lncRNA from 1 species
CCUAAGACAUGACUUACGUCAGAAGGCAAUAGGCCUUCUUAUUUUUGACCCAAGGCAUAGCAAACUUCACUGAAUGACUAGGAGCUUUUUACAACUCAGCAAAUGGAUUUGUCACCAUCGUGGAACAGUGGAAGGCAGCUAAUUCCUCAGCCCAUCAGAAGUGCUGCUUUGUGAACUUGAAGAACCCGAACAACUUUUUGAUAAAAUCUAUCUCCUCCUAGAGAGAAUGGAUGGGUCAUUUUCAGAAACAUCGUUUUUUGGAGAAAAGCUCAUCUGUCCUCUGCUUGACCCCUUCUGAGGAGCUGGAGCUGUGUAGACGUCAGUUAUGAGAGCAGGAACACAACCAGGCAAAUAGCAGGAUGACCUG